rnacentral:misc_RNA from 1 species
UUUCCGUAGGUGAACCUGCGGAAGGAUCAUUAUUGAAUUUGAUUAGGACGUUUGUUAAUUCAAAGUCCGACCCUUUUUCAUUUUCUAACUCUUGUGCAACCUUCUUUGUAAUGUUCAAUUGAAUGCUGUGGCUGUUUUGUUGCCUAAGCGUUUCAGUUCAAUUUGAAUAUGCAAUUUUUUUUCAAUUAAACAUCAAGUUUUAAAUGAAUGGCAAUUAUAACACAUAACAUAAGAAAACUUUCAACAACGGAUCUCUUGGCUCUCGCAUCGAUGAAGAACGCAGC